rnacentral:rRNA from 1 species
UGGGGAAUUUUCCGCAAUGGGCGAAAGCCUGACGGAGCAAUGCCGCGUGGAGGUGGAAGGCCUAUGGGUCGUCAACUUCUUUUCUCGGAGAAGAAACAAUGACGGUAUCUGAGGAAUAAGCAUCGGCUAACUCUGUGCCAA